CGCAGAGAUCAAAUACAAACGUCCCACGCGAAGUCUGCAGCUUCAAUUCCAGCAGAAUCCUCGCAACAAGGACGCCCUGUGUUGAAUGCUAGUUUUUGUCUGGUGAUGUCAUCUGAGAAUGGCAAUCCAGAGAGAUAUCCAGUUGUUUGGUUUUUUUCUUCAUUAUGGUUGGAUUACGUCAAAAUGUUUAUUUUGGACGUUGGUGCAACUCCUGAAUCAGCAUCGCACCAAUGUCCCCAUUGCCAGAAGGUUCUACAACUUUCCAGAGGCAGCUGACAGGCCAGUCCAUCCUCUGCACAGCUUCCUCCCAUCAGGACCUCAUUAGGGCAGGUAUUUAAGCGCUCCAAAGAAGCAGUUGUGGGCCAAGGUUAAGACAGCUGAAGAAGCCAAAGAAGAAGUAGCCAAAGAAGAGGAAGCCAAAGAACAAGAAAGUGAUGAUGAUGAAGAAGGAAGGAAAGCUUCAAGGGACAUGUCCACAACACAUUUCCCAGCAGUCCUUCAUGCCUCACUGCCUGAGCAUGGACAGACCACACCCAUUCCUCCAAAACCUCCCCAGAGACAAGCAGCCACAACAGCAGAGUGGUUUGUCUAUUUGGUUUUCAUAUUCCCUGUUCUUCCAUUGCUCUUUCUGCUAAUGAAAUGCCCUCCAGAGCCCUGAACACUUGUGAUUUGCCUGUUCCCUGUGUCUCUCUCGGUUACAAUAUAAUCAGGAUUAGUUACAUUCUUAAAAAUAGGUGAUUACAUUUGAGAUUACUUCAUCUGAUGCUUUAGUCAUCUUCUAAAACUUGAGAGAACAUUUUAGUAUUGUUUUUGUCAGCAAUGGCACUUCUGUUAAGGGUACAUUACAGGAUAUCUGGCCACUGGUUGUAAAAAAAACUUCUUCACUAUGAUUCCUGUAUAUGGAAAACAGUGAAAUUAAAGAA